rnacentral:rRNA from 2 species
GUGUGCCUAAUACAUGCAAGUCGAACGCGUUGGCCCAAUUGAUUGAUGGUGCUUGCACCUGAUUGAUUUUGGUCGCCAACGAGUGGCGGACGGGUGAGUAACACGUAGGUAACCUGCCCAGAAGCGGGGGACAACAUUUGGAAACAGAUGCUAAUACCGCAUAACAGCGUUGUUCGCAUGAACAACGCUUAAAAGAUGGCUUCUCGCUAUCACUUCUGGAUGGACCUGCGGUGCAUUAGCUUGUUGGUGGGGUAACGGCCUACCAAGGCGAUGAUGCAUAGCCGAGUUGAGAGACUGAUCGGCCACAAUGGGACUGAGACACGGCCCAUACUCCUACGGGAGGCAGCAGUAGGGAAUCUUCCACAAUGGGCGCAAGCCUGAUGGAGCAACACCGCGUGAGUGAAGAAGGGUUUCGGCUCGUAAAGCUCUGUUGUUAAAGAAGAACACGUAUGAGAGUAACUGUUCAUACGUUGACGGUAUUUAACCAGAAAGUCACGGCUAACUACGUGCCAGCAGCCGCGGUAAUACGUAGGUGGCAAGCGUUAUCCGGAUUUAUUGGGCGUAAAGAGAGUGCAGGCGGUUUUCUAAGUCUGAUGUGAAAGCCUUCGGCUUAACCGGAGAAGUGCAUCGGAAACUGGAUAACUUGAGUGCAGAAGAGGGUAGUGGAACUCCAUGUGUAGCGGUGGAAUGCGUAGAUAUAUGGAAGAACACCAGUGGCGAAGGCGGCUACCUGGUCUGCAACUGACGCUGAGACUCGAAAGCAUGGGUAGCGAACAGGAUUAGAUACCCUGGUAGUCCAUGCCGUAAACGAUGAGUGCUAGGUGUUGGAGGGUUUCCGCCCUUCAGUGCCGGAGCUAACGCAUUAAGCACUCCGCCUGGGGAGUACGACCGCAAGGUUGAAACUCAAAGGAAUUGACGGGGGCCCGCACAAGCGGUGGAGCAUGUGGUUUAAUUCGAAGCUACGCGAAGAACCUUACCAGGUCUUGACAUCUUGCGCCAACCCUAGAGAUAGGGCGUUUCCUUCGGGAACGCAAUGACAGGUGGUGCAUGGUCGUCGUCAGCUCGUGUCGUGAGAUGUUGGGUUAAGUCCCGCAACGAGCGCAACCCUUGUUACUAGUUGCCAGCAUUAAGUUGGGCACUCUAGUGAGACUGCCGGUGACAAACCGGAGGAAGGUGGGGACGACGUCAGAUCAUCAUGCCCCUUAUGACCUGGGCUACACACGUGCUACAAUGGACGGUACAACGAGUCGCGAACUCGCGAGGGCAAGCAAAUCUCUUAAAACCGUUCUCAGUUCGGACUGCAGGCUGCAACUCGCCUGCACGAAGUCGGAAUCGCUAGUAAUCGCGGAUCAGCAUGCCGCGGUGAAUACGUUCCCGGGCCUUGUACACACCGCCCGUCACACCAUGAGAGUUUGUAACACCCAAAGUCGGUGGGGUAACCUUUUAGGAGCCAGCCGCCUAAGGUGGACA